rnacentral:rRNA from 1 species
GUUUUGCUCCAAGGACCAAUCUUGCAGUUAAAUAGCUCGUAGUUGAAUUUCGGGAUCAAUUUAUCGGUCGUGCCAAUGGUAUGAACUGGUACAAUUGGUUUCUCCCUUCUGACGAAGCAUGAUGUCAUUAAUUUGGUGUCGUGGGGAAUCAGGACUGUUACUUUGAAAAAAUUAGAGUGUUUAAAGCAAGCAUUAGCUUGAAUACAUUAGCAUGGAAUAAUGAAAUAGGACGUUUGAUCCUAUUUCGUUGGUUUCUAGGAUCGACGUAAUGAUUAAUAGGGAUAGUUGGGGGCAUUAGUAUUCAAUUGUCAGAGGUGAAAUUCUUGGAUUUAUUGAAGACUAACUACUGCGAAAGCAUUUGCCAAGGAUGUUUUCAUUAAUCAAGAACGAAAGUUAGGGGAUCGAAGACGAUCAGAUACCGUCGUAGUCUUAACCAUAAACUAUGCCGACUAGGGAUCGGAUGAUGUUAAUUUUUUAAUGACUCAUUCGGCGCCUUACGGGAAACCAAAGUGUUUGGGUUCCGGGGGGAGUAUGGUCGCAAGGCUGAAACUUAAAGGAAUUGACGGAAGGGCACCACCAGGGGUGGAGCCUGCGGCUUAAUUUGACCCAACACGGGGAAACUCACCAGGUCCAGACAUAGUAAGGAUUGACAGAUUGAGAGCUCUUUCUUGAUUCUAUGGGUGGUGGUGCAUGGCCGUUCUUAGUUGGUGGAGUGAUUUGUCUGGUUAAUUCCGAUAACGAACGAGACCUUAACCUGCUAAAUAGCUAGGCUUAGCAUUGCUAGGUCGUCAGCUUCUUAGAGGGACUAUCGGUGUUUAACCGAUGGAAGUUUGAGGCAAUAACAGGUCUGUGAUGCCCUUAGAUGUUCUGGGCCGCGCGCGCGCUACACUGAUGAAGUCAACGAGUUCACUCCCUUUGUCGGAAGACAUGGGUAAUCUUUUGAAACUUCAUCGUGCUGGGGAUAGAGCAUUGCAAUUAUUGCUCUUAAACGAGGAAUCCCUAGUAAGUACAAGUCAUCAGCUUGUGCUGAUUACGUCCCUGCCCUUUGUACACACCGCCCGUCGCUACUACCGAUUGAAUGGCUUAGUGAGGACUUCGGAUUGAGCUUCGGAGGCUGUAAAAGGCAUCCGAUUUUUAAAAAGUUGUUCAAACUUGGUCAUUUGGAGGAAGUAAAAGUCGUAACAAGGUUUCCGUAGGUGAACCUGCGGAAG